AUUAACAAUAUCUAUCGAUAAUAUCAUCAUUAAUUUUAUCUCAUAUUUAGUUUUUAAUUUUAAUGACUAAUUUUAUAGCCAAUUUCUUUGAUUUUUAUUGAAAAUAUUGAUCAAAUAUAUAUUUAACAAUACUACAAGGAGAAUAUGAGCUUCAUUGAAGCUAUCAAGUGAUUCUGUUUUGACAUGUCAUUUUCAAAAUUCACUUGAUCUCUUCAUCUCCUUACAUGCAAAUUCGUGUUCUUCGAUUCAAACAAAUACAUAACUGCAAAAUUUUCAGAUUCAACCAUGGCCCACCAAGCAAACGUGCAAGCAGUUUCCUCUUCGGGUGACGCGGAAACGCGGAUUCAUCACUUCCGCUAUACUUUAUCCGCUGAGAAGAAGUCCAUAUAACUAAAACUGGAACCAGGCAAGGGCUAUAGACAUCUUGGUGCUAAUCAGUAAGGUUUGGAUCAGUGCGAAGAAACAAAGCAUUGGAUUUGGGGUCAGCAAGUGUGCAAGCUUCUAUAGGCCUCCCCCCUAAUAAAUCAGAGCUGCAGAAAUUGUAUAAAGAUUAUUCCGAGUCUCUCGAGCCUGCUCAGAUGCUUAGUACAGCCACAUAAUCUUCUCUUCUCUUCCCUUUUAUCCAUAUAUCAUUUUGCUAUAAUUAAUAAGGUAAGAGCUUGGCUAAUGUCUUUAAUGUGAUUGUUAUCUUUUAUUAGUUGCAGCCUUGCAGGUAUGGAUUCUGUAAAAUCAGUAUAUGAAAUUCAUUGUAUAAAUUCUUUGUAGGCACCAUAUGCAAUCGCGUUAUAAUGGAUUUGAUUGAAGGAACUUCAUGGAGUAUUUUCUUACAUAGAAUCACAAUAACGUUUGUCUAUAUUUAUGUGCAUGUAAAUAAUUGGCUUUUUUUCUUCUUUUGGCUAUAGUUACAUUUCCUUUUUGGAAUAUGAAAAUGGGGAGACAGCUGGGAAAGCGGUGAGUGUCAAAUAAAAGUUACUCGACUGUGCAGACAAACUACAUUGAAUAACGAGCACGACUGAAGAAUUGGGUUGCGUGUUGAGCUUCUUGAACAAGCAGGAACGUUUGCACAGAGAAGACUAACUAUGAAGGAAGUAGAUCCAGAGAAGGACAGUACAGGCUGAGUGCAUGAUCAAACUAAAGGUGAGGAGAACAAAAACUCAAAUGAACAUCAUCAUCACCGUCACCAUCAUCCUGAUACUUCAGUUGAUAUAUAUCUCUGGAAUACUUAGAAGUUGAGUUAAUUGAUUCUACUAACAAAUCGCAAUGCAUUGAUGGCUUUAAGCGGUUUAAAAUCAUCUAUCACGGUCCCACUUCUUCUAGGAGGCUGCCUCUUCUCCUAAAACUGAAGAUAACGAAUCUGGUAACAAGGGUUCUCUAUUUGGGCGUUUGACUGGCUCUAUCCUUAUGGCAUUUGUAUGUAUGAUCACUCUCUAUUCCUAUUCGUUAUUUCCAGUUCCUUUAUAGCCAUUUAUUCUCCUUGGAUGAUAUGCUUAAGAAACUAAAUGCACCGUGCAAGACAUUGUUUGUGCUUAAUGUUGUUCUCCUCCAAGCUUUAUUUUAGUUCCUUGAGAAAAUGAUGUUGUGUGUCUCUUUAGGGAGGCCUCAGAAAUUAUCUUAACAUUUGAUAUGCUUAAAUGUUUUGUUACUGUGGCAUAGUCCAAUUCCUUUAAAUUAUAUGGUUAUGUUGUUAAUGCAAUCGCCUUAUUCUCUCCUAUGCAUUUUUCCUUUCUGAACUGACAUACCCUCAUGUUGGUCGGUGUAAGAUGUAAAAGUCUGAUCAACCCUACUUACUAAUAUGUUUGGAAGCCUGUCUGAUUGCAUCUACAUUGACCCUUUCUGUUUUCUUUUUUAUGUUAUGACGUGUAUUGUGUCUUAAUUCUGUUCCUCUAAUGUUUCUUUCCUACUUUCUUUUUCUGCUUUCCGUUGAGCAUAGUUAAGAAACCACAUCAUUUUUGUUAAGCUGUUGACAUCUUUAUAGACUCAUUUAGCAUUCCAAUGUCUGAAACUCUAUAUUGGCCUACUUCCUUAUUAAAUCACCAAAGACAAGAGUUCUUGGCGAUAGCAUAGGACUUGGCUCUGCCUUUCUUUUUUCUUUGGUCAUUGGUAAGCUCAUCUUGAGAAGAAGAUACGUAUUUUCUUUCAUAUAUAUGUCCAUAUGUGUGAAGAAGAUACGUACUGCCUUUCUUUUUUCUUUUUUUUGUUUGCUGUUCUUUCUUCGACUUUCUUAUAGGGUUUCACUUGGCGUCUUCCUGGAAACCGGUCUCAGCAGGCCCGCGACUACUUUCAAGCAGCAUGUUGUCCUUUGUAAUGGUGUAUAAGCACGAUAGUUUUACCUGCAGCUGUAUCUGUCCCUGAUUUGUUGUUGCCUCGCCUAGAUGAGCAUGGGCCUUUAACCAAAUAGACAUUUCUUAAAAGCAUGUAUCAAACACACCGUUUUGUUUUUGCCUACGCCCCAAUAAGUAGCAAAGCGUUUUGAGUCGUAUGUAGAGUAAAUAGUGAUAAUAAAACACAUAUGCAUUUUCUUUUAA